GCCGCGGUGGCGGAAUGGCAGACGCGUAGGUCUCAAAAACCUAUUUCCGUUAAGGAAGUGUGGGUUCGACUCCCACCCGCGGCA
rnacentral:tRNA from 1 species